CCUGAGUGCAGGCUUCUUUUUCUCUCUGGGUCCAAAGUUUUGAUUUGGGAACAACUGUCUCUUUAGGCAAAGCCCCCUCUUAUAAUCUGCAAAUGUAACCUGUCCCCCAAGGCCUACCCAUCACACUAGAUGACUUCUCAAUUUGGCUUAUUUUGUCUUAAAUAUUUCCAUAUCAACCCCUCUCAAAUCCAAUGUUAGUGAUGAGCCACAGAACAGUAAAUAUUUUAUUAGUAUUUCUCUUCAGUGUGAGGUGAAGACAAAAGCAAGCUCCAUCUGUUUCUUUGAUCUCAUAAACUCUUAUGCAUAAGUGCUUGGACCAAAAAGCCGUGUGCCCGUGCAUGGGAGUCAUGCUCUCACUCUUCAGGGACAACUCAUACUUUCCAAGCAUAGGGAAGACUCUCCAGAAAUAGGAAAGAUAAUAUCCUUUGAAUUGUAAUAUUUCAUUCAGUUGAAGUGAAGAUGCAUCUAGUUUUAACACUCAUCAGAACUCUUUUACCAAUUACAGCAUCUUAAAGUCAUCCAUCAAAUUUUAGGAAAAAUUAUUCGUUAUUUCCUUUAUAUCUGUGAAACUAAAGGGACAAUUGUAAUAAUACUCUCAAUUCAACAAAUUUUGCUUGAAAGGUUUACUGGUUCUCUGCUUUAAGAAUAGUUUUGUAGACUGAGGCUGUGACUCAGUGGCAGAGCACUUGUCUAGCAUGUGUGAGGCACUGGGUUCAAUCUUUAGCAUUGCAUACAAAAAUAAAUAAAGGCAUGCUGUCCAUCUACAAUUACAAAAUUUUUUUUAAAAAGAAAUAGUUUUUGUAUUAUAUUCAUUUGAGAAAAAAAUUGGAGUCCACCAAGCAUCUUCUAGUAGUUUGCUUACCCAGUAUCCCUUUCCCAGUAACUUGGAUAUUAGUAAAACAAAUUUCUAAUCAAUAAAUGUAGAUAUACUAUACUACAAAGUGUAUGCCUUAUAACCUUUCAUAGAACUUUCUUAGAAUACUGACUGCUAUGGUUCGAAAGUUUUCAAAACAUAUGUAGAAAUGUAAUUGCCAUUGUAACAGUAUUAAGAGGUAAGACUGUUAAGAGGUGAUUAGACCAUUCACCUUCAUGACUGGGAUUAAUUCUGUAAUAAAAGGACAAGGUCAACUCCCCUUUGCCUUCCUUUUACUCUUACAUCUCCCAACUACAUGAGCAUUCUAGAGGCCAACUCGGAAUUAGAAUUGUCAAACCUGCCCACGCUAUGGCUCCUUGAUAUCAGACUUAUGAGCCUACAGAACUGUGAGCCAAUAAAAUUAUAUUCAUUAAAGCUGCACAAAACAGAUUGAGAUACUUAAAGUCACUUUUGAAAUAAUGUAAUUAAGUCUAUGCUUAUUUGGUUUAGCAUUCUACAGGAGAUUUGAUGUAGCAAUGGAGCACAGAAAUUAGGGUUAUGUCCAGAUGGGUGGGGGAUUGAAUCGUGGUAGUGCUGCUGCCUGCUGGUGAUGUGCCUUGGGAAAGUUACUUAAUCUGCCAGCUUUCUCAUUGUAAAGUGGAUGUAUCUACCUUGCAGAAUUGUGGUAAGAUAAGGCCUAUAAAUCUUAUACCUUGAAACAUAUUAAGCACUGUCAUAAUUAUGAAUUGGAGUGGAGGAGAAAGAGCUACAAGAAUCAGGCACUCUGACAACAGUAAGAUGUGACUAUUUUUAGCCAGAUAGUGAGAAGACACCAUCUGUUUAGUAAUCUGCUCUAGAAUUUUCUUAGGAUCCAUAUUAAUUUGUCUCAGUUUUAAAAAUCCACCUUUUAGCCCAUUCUGAAAAUACAUGAGGCAUUAGCCAAUAUUUCCUGUUCUCCAAAAUUUCCUAGUUCCUAAAAUUUCUAUGAUCUCUGCAGAAAUCACCUAUUUACAAUUACCUGUUCUUCCAUUACUCCUAGUUACCAUUUGUCAUUGGCCUAAAAACGGGCACUAAAUAAAGUAACAACUAUUCAGUUCUUAGUUCCCUCUUUGGUAUUUGUUCAUCCUGUCAUUUUCAGUCUUAAGGUAGUUUUCAUUAACAAAGGACCUUAAGUUGAGUUGUUCUGACUUUUUAGCUUUGAAUAGUGUACUCCUUUCCAAAUUGUUAGCAUUUCUUUGAUUUCUUGCUCUAAAAGGUUAAAAAAAAAAACCCAAAACUUAUUUUUGGUGCCUUUAGCAUAUUUCAUGAAUUUCUUCUAUUUCUAAGCUGCU
rnacentral:lncRNA from 1 species